CUGGUUGAUCCUGCCAGUAGUGAUAUGCUUGUCUCAAAGAUUAAGCCAUGCAUGUCUCAGUACACGCCAUAUUAAGGUGAAACCGCGAAUGGCUCAUUAAAUCAGCUAUAAUUUAUUAGAUCGUACACACAUUUACUUGGAUAACUGUGGUAAUUCUAGAGCUAAUACAUGCAAACUUGAGUUCCAACCAGAGAUGGAAGGAACGUAUUUAUUAGAUCAAAACCAAUCGAUGGCAAAUUUAUGUUAAAGUUUAUUUGUCCACCGUUAAUUUUGAUGACUCUGAAUAACUUUGUACUGAUCGCAUGGUCUUAGUACCGGCGACUUAUCUUUCAAAUGUCUGCCUUAUCAACUUUCGAUGGUAGGUUCUAUGCCUACCAUGGUUGUAACGGGUAACGGGGAAUCAGGGUUCGAUUCCGGAGAGGGAGCCUGAGAAACGGCUACCACAUCCAAGGAAGGCAGCAGGCGCGCAAAUUACCCACUCCCGGCACGGGGAGGUAGUGACGAAAAAUAACGAUACGGGACUCAUCCGAGGCCCCGUAAUCGGAAUGAGUACACUUUAAAACCUUUAACGAGGAUCAAUUGGAGGGCAAGUCUGGUGCCAGCAGCCGCGGUAAUUCCAGCUCCAAUAGCGUAUAUUAAAGUUGUUGCGGUUAAAAAGCUCGUAGUUGAAUUUGUGUCACAUACUGUUGGUUCAUCGCUCGCGGUGUUUAACUGACAUGUUUAUGUGACGUAUUAUCGUAUGGAUUUAUCUUUUUUUAUAUUUUCUUUAUAUAUAUAUUUUUUAUCUUUUAUAAUUUAUGAAAGUUUAAAUUAUAUUGUAUAUAAAUGUAAAAUAUAUUAAAAAUAAUCCAAAUUUUUAUUCAUCGUGGUGCUCUUUAUUGAGUGUCAUUAUGAAACGAUACGUUUACUUUGAACAAAUUAGAGUGCUUAAAGCAGGCUAUUUUUGCCUGAAUAUUGUGUGCAUGGAAUAAUAGAAUAGGACCUCGGUUCUAUUUUGUUGGUUUUCGGAAUCCCGAGGUAAUGAUUAAUAGGGACAGAUGGGGGCAUUCGUAUUGCGACGUUAGAGGUGAAAUUCUUGGAUCGUCGCAAGACGAACAGAAGCGAAAGCAUUUGCCAAAAAUGUUUUCAUUAAUCAAGAACGAAAGUUAGAGGUUCGAAGGCGAUCAGAUACCGCCCUAGUUCUAACCAUAAACGAUGCCAGCUAGCGAUCCGCCGAAGUUCCUCCGAUGACUCGGCGGGCAGCUUCCGGGAAACCAAAGCUUUUAGGUUCCGGGGGAAGUAUGGUUGCAAAGCUGAAACUUAAAGGAAUUGACGGAAGGGCACCACCAGGAGUGGAGCCUGCGGCUUAAUUUGACUCAACACGGGAAAUCUCACCAGGCCCGGACACCGGAAGGAUUGACAGAUUGAUAGCUCUUUCUUGAUUCGGUGGGUGGUGGUGCAUGGCCGUUCUUAGUUGGUGGAGCGAUUUGUCUGGUUAAUUCCGAUAACGAACGAGACUCUAGCCUGCUAAAUAGGCGUAUUUCUGGUAUCUCGAAGGCUAUUAUAUAUUAUUAUUGGUAUUUAUUUUGUAUGUAUAAAUUAUCUUCCGGGAUUUUUUAUAUAUAUAAAUUUGUAUCAUUAUUUUAUAUAUAGUUUUUACUACCAACGUACAAUAAAAUCUUCUUAGAGGGACAGGCGGCUAUUAGCCGCACGAGAUUGAGCAAUAACAGGUCUGUGAUGCCCUUAGAUGUUCUGGGCCGCACGCGCGCUACACUGAAGGAAUCAGCGUGUUUUCCCUGGCCGAAAGGCCCGGGUAACCCGCUGAACCUCCUUCGUGCUAGGGAUUGGGGCUUGAAAUUAUUCCCCAUGAACGAGGAAUUCCCAGUAAGCGCGAGUCAUAAGCUCGCGUUGAUUACGUCCCUGCCCUUUGUACACACCGCCCGUCGCUACUACCGAUUGAAUGAUUUAGUGAGGUCUUCGGACUGGUGCGCGGCAAUGUUUCGGCAUUGCCGAUGUUGCUGGGAAGAUGACCAAACUUGAUCAUUUAGAGGAAGUAAAAGUCGUAACAAGGUUUCCGUAGGUGAACCUGCGGAAGGA
rnacentral:rRNA from 1 species